rnacentral:rRNA from 1 species
GAUGAACGCUAGCUACAGGCUUAACACAUGCAAGUCGAGGGGCAUCAGGAAGAAAGCUUGCUUUCUUUGCUGGCGACCGGCGCACGGGUGAGUAACACGUAUCCAACCUGCCCUUUACUCGGGGAUAGCCUUUCGAAAGAAAGAUUAAUACCCGAUAGUAUAAUGAUUCCGCAUGGUUUCAUUAUUAAAGGAUUCCGGUAAAGGAUGGGGAUACGUUCCAUUAGGUUGUUGGUGAGGUAACGGCCCACCAAGCCUUCGAUGGAUAGGGGUUCUGAGAGGAAGGUCCCCCACAUUGGAACUGAGACACGGUCCAAACUCCUACGGGAGGCAGCAGUGAGGAAUAUUGGUCAAUGGGCGCUAGCCUGAACCAGCCAAGUAGCGUGAAGGAUGAAGGCUCUAUGGGUCGUAAACUUCUUUUAUAUAAGAAUAAAGUGCAGUAUGUAUACUGUUUUGUAUGUAUUAUAUGAAUAAGGAUCGGCUAACUCCGUGCCAGCAGCCGCGGUAAUACGGAGGAUCCGAGCGUUAUCCGGAUUUAUUGGGUUUAAAGGGAGCGUAGGUGGACUGGUAAGUCAGUUGUGAAAGUUUGCGGCUCAACCGUAAAAUUGCAGUUGAUACUGUCAGUCUUGAGUACAGUAGAGGUGGGCGGAAUUCGUGGUGUAGCGGUGAAAUGCUUAGAUAUCACGAAGAACUCCGAUUGCGAAGGCAGCUCACUGGACUGCAACUGACACUGAUGCUCGAAAGUGUGGGUAUCAAACAGGAUUAGAUACCCUGGUAGUCCACACAGUAAACGAUGAAUACUCGCUGUUUGCGAUAUACAGUAAGCGGCCAAGCGAAAGCAUUAAGUAUUCCACCUGGGGAGUACGCCGGCAACGGUGAAACUCAAAGGAAUUGACGGGGGCCCGCACAAGCGGAGGAACAUGUGGUUUAAUUCGAUGAUACGCGAGGAACCUUACCCGGGCUUAAAUUGCAGUGGAAUGAUGUGGAAACAUGUCAGUGAGCAAUCACCGCUGUGAAGGUGCUGCAUGGUUGUCGUCAGCUCGUGCCGUGAGGUGUCGGCUUAAGUGCCAUAACGAGCGCAACCCUUAUCUUCAGUUACUAACAGGUCAUGCUGAGGACUCUGGAGAGACUGCCGUCGUAAGAUGUGAGGAAGGUGGGGAUGACGUCAAAUCAGCACGGCCCUUACGUCCGGGGCUACACACGUGUUACAAUGGGGGGUACAGAAGGCAGCUAGCGGGUGACCGUAUGCUAAUCCCAAAAGCCUCUCUCAGUUCGGAUCGAAGUCUGCAACCCGACUUCGUGAAGCUGGAUUCGCUAGUAAUCGCGCAUCAGCCACGGCGCGGUGAAUACGUUCCCGGGCCUUGUACACACCGCCCGUCAAGCCAUGGGAGCCGGGGGUACCUGAAGUACGUAACCGCAAGGAUCGUCCUAGGGUAAAACUGGUGACUGGGGCUAAGUCAUA